rnacentral:rRNA from 1 species
CGCAUCUGUGCAUGCAGCAUAUCAAUAAGCGGAGGAAAAGAAACUAACAAGGAUUCCCUUAGUAACGGCGAGUGAAGCGGGAAGAGCUCAAAUUUGAAAUCUUCAAGGUUUUACCUUGACGAAUUGUAGUUUAAAGAAGUGUUUUCUGUUGAAGUUUUGGUAAAAGUUCUUUGGAAUAGGACAUCAUAGAGGGUGAGAAUCCCGUAUUUGACCAUUAUUUUCAGCUGUGUGAUACACUUUCAAAGAGUCAGGAUUGUUUGGGAAUGCAGUCCAAAAUGGGUGGUAAAUUUCAUCUAAAGCUAAAUAUUGGCGAGAGACCGAUAGCGAACAGGUACCGUGAGGGAAAGAUGAAGAGAACUUUGAAAAGAGAGUUAAACAGUACGUGAAAUUGUCAAAAGGGAAGCGUUUGACACCAGUGUUGUUUUCUCGAAAAUCAAUUAAAAAGAGUUUGAUUUUGUUGUGUACUGACCUUAACAGCUUGCAUUUCAAUUUUCUUGCUUUUUUUAAUGCACUUUUCGUUUAACAAGUCAACAUCAGUUUCUUUUGUUGUAAAAAGGUCAUUGGAAGGUGGCUUUCUUUUCGGAGAAAGUGUUUAUAGCCUUUGACUCCUGCAAUCGGAGAGACUGAGGUCUGCAGCGUAGAUCCUUCGGGGUUAGAUACAUUUGUGCUAAGUUAUAGCUUUUUAUAGACAACUUGUUGACUAUGAUUAGUCUUGUAGCUUACUCGCUUAUGCUAUUUUACCUACGCUUAGGAUGUUGAUGUGAUACUGCGAGCA